GAGCUGGGUGGAGCUUAGAGGAAUUAAACUUUGGCCCUGCGCCUCGUCCAGCCUAGGUUCCACCCUUUUCUGGGAACGUGAGUAUCAACCAAGUUUACACCCCGCCACUCCUGAGCACCGCACACCGGCUUCCUCCCAGUCCCUCAUCUGAGAACUCAUGAAGCCACUUGGAAUCCCUCUCUGCUUUGCCUGGCUCAUUCCAUGUCAAUUUCAGAUCUUCACUUCAGGUCAGCUCCAAGGAGGCUAUCCUUGCCCAUCUUCCUAAAAUAGAGCUCUCAAAACCUGGCUGUUUUCCUUCAGAGCACUGGCCUCCAAUUGCUCCGGUAGAUUGCAAAUGACCUGCUUUCUUUCUGUUCCCGGGCGUUUGGACCCCUGUCUUGGACCGCUGUCGGAUAGUAAAUCCCAAGUAAGGUACCUGCCGUCGGCAGAUUUGAGCUUUCUUCUUGGACACCUAAUACCCAGAGUCCUCCAGGCUCCGGUAGAUUGCAAAUGACCUGCUUUCUUUCUGUUCCCGGGCGGCAUCGGACCCGUCGGAGAGUAAAUCCCAAGUAAGGUACCUGCCG
rnacentral:lncRNA from 1 species